CUGUGCGUUUACCUCUCGGAGCAGAGGGUGUCCCGUGGUUCCUCCGAUUGUGACAUAUGGGUGCAUGAGGGUGGAGCCACCGCGACUAUUGCGGAAAACUGUAACUACGGCAGGGUAUACUGGUCCUAUCCAGAGUCAGAUCUGAAGAUCAACUUUAAAAACAAUGUCUGUGUGAGUUUCUCUGAUGAAGGCAUUGUGAGCGAAAUCUCCGACGUCUCGGACGGGAAAGGAAAGACCCUCACCUUGCCAGCCCCUGGUUCCUCCGUGUGCACCAGCGCUAGUGGUGGUGACGUCAUCCUCAAGCUCACAGCGACCAAGGGCAACAAUGCUAACAGUGUGUACAUUAAAUACAGCAUUAAAAUGUAAAUUUAUGCAAACAACCGUGUAAACUGCUGAACUAUAGGGAUGAUUUUGAUAAUGAUAAUAAUAAAUGACAUUUAUUUUGCGCUCAACCCUGAUUAAAGCGCACAGGCUCUGGACGCUUUACAAUACAGUACAACGUACAACAGUAAACUGUUUCGUCUUAACCUCCUGUUUGUGAUAGAAAUUUCCUUUUUUGUGCUAUUGUAUGUUUGAGGUAUGAAAUAAAUUAACUUUGGGAUUUAAAAGGUUUUCAAAGUAUUAGUAUGUUUGGGUUAUUUGAGUUAUGAAAUAAAUAAACAUUGGGAAAAAUUGAAC